GGCUGGCGGUCAGCGCCCAGCUCUGGUGGCUGGGCAGAAUCGGGUCCCGGUCUGGUACCUCUGCAGGCUGGGCAAUUCUCAGCGCUUGUUCCUGCUGCUCCGAUGUCUGAACAGGAGGCGAGAACUGUGCAGGGACACAAACAAGGCAUGACUUGGAUUGCUUCACCUUGAAAUCAGAGAGCUUUGAGAAAAUCAAUCCCCUAAUAAGUAUUCUGCCUAAAGUUUGGAUUGGCACAGUACUGCGCUCACCCUUCUUGUGAUAGAAGAGGAUAAAAUGCCUGCGUGAUGGGAUUAACUGAGGUAAAUGUGACAUAAUUAGGCUACCAUUGACCUCCUGACGAUGUAACAGGAUGAUCUGCUUCUGGACCACAGUUGACGAGGAACUAAGACUGUGGAGAACGGGAGCACAAGCACACAAGCAGGGGGAGCAGCAGAGGGAGAGA